rnacentral:lncRNA from 1 species
UUUUGAAAACACAACUGAGAGCUACCAGUGGCUGCAGAUGCCUUUGAUCCUGGCACUCACUGCCACAGGGACAGAGUCCAGGAGACACAAUGAGAAAAUAUCAGACUGGUGACUCUCAACACAAUCAAGUAGGAAUGGAAGACUGACCAUCAGGCACACCUAGAGCUCACUGUAGUUAAAGAUGACCUUGAAACCCUGAUCAUUCUGCUUUCGCCUGGAAUACUACGAUUGUAGUGUACCUUCACCUCCGGGGAUUUUGGAAUCCUGACCCUCAGAGGACUUUCACAACUACCAUACAUCAAUGCUUUGUCUGUGUGUCAUUCUGCGGGUUAUCAACUGUCACUUGGAUUCCACCAGAAAACUCCCAGAUGCCAAUAACUGAAGAGAAGCACGG